rnacentral:rRNA from 1 species
GAAUUGACGGGGCCCGCACAAGCGGUGGAGUAUGUGGUUUAAUCGAUGCAACGCGAAGAACCUUACCUGGUCUUGACAUCCCGGAGACCCUUAGGAAACUAGGGGGUGCUUCCAUCUGGAAGAAUCUGGAGACAGGUGCUGCAUGGCUGUCGUCAGCUCGUGUCGUGAGAUGUUGGGUUAAGUCCCGCAACGAGCGCAACCCUUGCCUUUAGUUGCCAGCAGUUCGGCUGGGCACUCUAAAGGGACUGCCGGUGUUAAACCGGAGGAAGGUGGGGAUGACGUCAAGUCCUCAUGGCCUUUAUGACCAGGGCUACACACGUACUACAAUGGCCGAUACAAAGGGCAGCGACACUGCGAGGUGAAGCCAAUCCCGUAAAAUCGGUCUCAGUCCGGAUUGGAGUCUGCAACUCGACUCCAUGAAGUUGGAAUCGCUAGUAAUCGUGGAUCAGCAUGCCACGGUGAAUACGUUCCCGGGCCUU